GACGAACGCUGGCGGCGUGCUUAACACAUGCAAGUCGAGCGGUAAGGCCCUUUCGGGGUACGACGAGCGGCGAACGGGUGAGUAACACGUGGGUGACCUGCCCUCAGCUCUGGGAUAAGCCGUGGGAAACCGGGUCUAAUACUGGAUAUGACUCCAUGACGCAUGUUGUGGGGUGGAAAGCCUUGUGCGGCUGAGGAUGGGCCCGCGGCCUAUCAGCUUGUUGGUGGGGUGANGGCCUACCAAGGCGACGACGGGUAGCCGGCCUGA
rnacentral:rRNA from 1 species